CAACCCCUAGAGUUGGCAUCGAGGUUUGUUGCAUGGAUUGGUUCCUGAGGUAGAGUUACUAUGGUACAAUGUGCAGUUGCUGGUGAGGAUACAUUUCAG